rnacentral:tRNA from 1 species
GGAGAGAUGCCGGAGUGGUCAAACGGGGCGGACUGUAAAUCCGUUGCGCAAGCUACGAAGGUUCGAAUCCUUCUCUCUCCA